GUUAUACUCCCUCCGUUCGAAAAUACUUGUCAGAGGAAUGGAUGUAUCUAAACGUAUUUUAGUUUUAGAUACAUCAAUUUUUAUACAUUUCUCCGACAAGUAUUUCCGAACGGAGGGAGUAUAUA
rfam:Triticum aestivum genome assembly, contig: Triticum_aestivum_CS42_TGACv1_scaffold_592651_7BS